UCACCGCUUGCGCGGGCAGUCUCCUUAGAGUUCCCGACAUUACUCGCUGGCAACUAAGGACAAGGGUUGCGCUCGUUGCGGGACUUAACCCAACAUCACACGACACGAGCUGACGACAGCCAUGCAGCACCUGUCUCACGGUUCCCGAAGGCACCCCUCUAUCUCUAAAGGGUUCCGUGGAUGUCAAGGCCAGGUAAGGUUCUUCGCGUUGCAUCGAAUUAAACCACAUACUCCACCGCUUGUGCGGGCCCCCGUCAAUUCCUUUGAGUUUCAGCCUUGCGACUGUACUCCCCAGGCGGCAUAUUUAACGCGUUAGCUCCGGCACGGACAGAAUGAACUGCCCACACCAAAUAUGCAUCGUUUAGGGCGUGGACUAC
rnacentral:misc_RNA from 1 species